ensembl:snRNA U6 U6 spliceosomal RNA
GUGCUCACUUGGGCAGCACAUAUACUAAAAUUGGAACGAUACAGACAAGAUUAGCAUGGCCCCUGCACAAGGAUGACACGCAAAUUCCUGAAACGUUCCAUAUUUUU